rnacentral:rRNA from 1 species
AUGAGGUUGAUGUCUACAUGUGUUUUGAACUAUGCCAUGUCUUCUUUACAGAGGUGCUUACCAUGUAUUUUUGUGAUCAUUGUGGUGACUAGAACAAGCAUGCAAACUAGGCAUCGUGAUGUUGCUGAUUUUAGUUCCUGUUCUGCUGUUAUUUUGAUGUCAUGUAAACAUGUUGCUACAGAGAGAUGCAUGCGUAUUUUGAGAUACUUCAGUAAGGAUGUUUUGAACAUAUGGUUAUGCUCUAUCUAUUCAUGCCCUUUUUUGCAAUUAUGGAGUAGUCUAGCAUGCCAUUUUCGUGCUCUACUUUUGCUUCAAAAUGUUUCCUGGCAGAUUGUUUACAUGUUAUUCAAUUUUGCCGAGGUUGCUAUAGUUGAUCCUUGCAUGCUAUGGACUUGUUCUUGA